AUUGAACGCUGGCGGCAGGCCUAACACAUGCAAGUCGAACGAGUGGCGGACGGGUGAGUAAUGUCUGGGAAACUGCCUGAUGGAGGGGGAUAACUACUGGAAACGGUAGCUAAUACCGCAUACCAUCAGAUUUGCCCAGAUGGGAUUAGCUAGUUGUUGGGGUAACGGCUCACCAAGGCGACGCUCCCUAGCUGGUCUGAGAGGCUGACCAGACAAACUGGAACUUAGACACGGUCCAGAAUCCUACGUGAGGCAGCAGUGGGGAAUAUUGCACAAUGGGCGAAAGCCGGAUGCAGCCAUGCCGCGUGUAUGAAGAAGGCCUUCGGGUUGUAAAGUACUUUCAGCGGGGAGGCGUUACCCGCAGAAGAAGCACCGGCUAACUCCGUGCCAGCAGCCGCGGUAAUUC
rnacentral:rRNA from 1 species